ensembl:lncRNA
CUCAUCCAGGAGGGUUAGGCCGAGCAGGAUACUUUUCUCUUGAGACCUCAGUUUCUUCUUCUGUGAGCUCUCCUCUCUUCCCAGGGGGAUACGAUGACGUCAAUCCAAUAAAAAGUCAUGUCAGUGUUGAAGCGCUAAGUCACAGGGAGAAUGAAAAACAGCUUCUGCACAGGAAUCUUCAAGGACCAGCAUAAUGGGAACUUCACUUGGGAACACAUCCCUAUGACCGUUAAAAUUCACGAGGCCAACCUGGUGGAAUUGGAGGCUCAGAGAAAGGAUGAAGAGAGACACCAUGGAAGAAGUAACUGAAGAAAUGAAGAGAUUCACAACACAAGAAAUGGGCAAGUGGCUCACUCGCUUCACCUGGUUCAAGUUCUGUCAAAGGCAUCCAGCAGGAGAGGCCAUGUGAGGACACAGUGAGAAGACAACCAUUUGCAAGCCAGGAAGAGAACCCUCAUCAGAAACUGAAUUUGCCAGCACCUUGAUCAUGGACUUCUAUCUGUGAAUAAAUGUUGCUUAAGCUAGGCAGUUGUGGCAUUUUGUUACGGCAGCUCUGGAAGACUAAUACACUGCC